rnacentral:rRNA from 1 species
CCUACGGGAGGCAGCAGUGAGGAAUAUUGGUCAAUGGACGCAAGUCUGAACCAGCCAUGCCGCGUGCAGGAAGACGGCUCUAUGAGUUGUAAUCUGCUUUUGUACGAGGGUAAAUCCCGAUACGUGUAUCGGGUUGAAAGUAUCGUACGAAUAAGGAUCGGCUAACUCCGUGCCAGCAGCCGCGGUAAUACGGAGGAUUCAAGCGUUAUCCGGAUUUAUUGGGUUUAAAGGGUGCGUAGGCGGUUCGAUAAGUUAGAGGUGAAAUCCCGGGGCUCAACUCCGGCACUGCCUCUGAUACGGUCGGGCUAGAGUUUAGUUGCGGUAGGCGGAAUGUAUGGUGUAGCGGUGAAAUGCAUAGAGAUCAUACAGAACACCGAUUGCGAAGGCAGCUUACCAAACUACGACUGACGUUGAGGCACGAAAGCGUGGGGAGCGAACAGGAUUAGAUACCCCAGUAGUC